rfam:Neotoma lepida isolate 417 scaffold_26408, whole genome shotgun sequence.
AGCUCAGUGGUAGAGUGAAUGCCUGGCAUGCAUGAGGAGCUGGGUUUGAUACCCAG